AAGCAAGAAGCGAAUAAUCGCACUCAGUUUCGACCUGACACAUAGGUAAAAUUUACCCUUACUUU
rnacentral:tRNA from 1 species